CUUAGGACCUUGGUCUAGUAACCUGACCUCUCUGAUCUCAGUCUGCUGUUUUGUGAAGUCAGGAAAUCACUUAGGUCUUGUAUGUUACUCUGCGAUGGAAGUGACCACUUUCUUCGACAAAAGUACUGAGACUUCUGUAUCUUUACCCAACAUCUGACCACAGCAGAUGCUAGAAAGCAGGCAGGGGCUGCUUCUGCAUAUUCACCACAUAUGAUUCACUCUGUUGAUGCAGAAUCACAACUUCCCCUCAUCCUCAAGCUCUCCUGGCUAAAACUCCUGCAAUGUAAAGAAACUGCAAAACAGCAGAAUGUCUAAAGCAGGGAUGCAGAUAUUGAUAUUGCUUAUAGAGUGAGGACUCUUUUUAAUAAAUACACCACUCAUGUCUAAUUCUUUUUUCAGUUUUCUAAGGGCUUUGCUCCCGGCCAGGCUGAUGGCCAGUCUACCCCAGCUUUGCUGAUGCUGACAGAAUGGAUGCUGCUUGAGAGAGUAACCAGACAGCUUUUACAAGUCCUUGUCCACGUAGCAGGCAACUGACUUGACACAGGUGCUGUUGUUAGGUGCCACCCUAUGAGACAAAAACAACAUCAGUCAGAAACCAGAACCGGGCACCCUGCCCAAAGGGAAGCAAAUAACCUGGGAACUCAUUCAUGCCACCACUGAGAGGUUCUC